AUUGAACGCUGGCGGCAGGCCUAACACAUGCAAGUCGAACGAGUGGCGGACGGGUGAGUAAUGUCUGGGAAACUGCCUGAUGGAGGGGGAUAACUACUGGAAACGGUAGCUAAUACCGCAUACCAUCAGAUGUGCCACGAUGGGAUUAGCUUGUUGGUGGGGUAACGGCUAACCAAGGCGACGAUCCCUAGCUGGUCGGAGAGGAUGAUCCGCAACACUGGGACUGAGACACGGCCCAGACUCCUACGGGAGGCAGCAGGGGUGAAUUUUGGACAAUGGGGGCAACCCUGAUCCAGCCAUGCCGCGUGUAUGAAGAAGGCCUUCGGGUUGUAAAGUACUUUUGUUAGGUAAGCGGUACCUAAAGAAUAAGCACCGGCUAACUACGUGCCAGCCGCCGCGGUAAUAC
rnacentral:rRNA from 1 species